GCAAACUGUAGCUGUGACAACAGUGCAGUGCCUAGAAGAGAAGUGUGGAGAUUCAACAACAUGCCAGAAAUACUGUAGAAGGAGAAAAGAUUGUUUUAGACUUUUGAGUCACAAAGCCGAAGUCUCUUAGAGGGUGUUUUAAUUCAUUAUUUUUAAUCCAAGUGAGCUAAGCAGUGCAGUGAUGAAUUCAAGCCUGUACAGGAGGGGCCACAUCAUAUUGUGCUGUUACUGCUACAGAUUCUUAAAUGUAUGUUUAUUGCUCUUACAGGCUUAUUCACCUGUGGCUGCAAGGCUUCCAUUUUUAAAGCAUGCACCUGAGAAGGACAACAUCUCAACCUCUGCUGCACAGAUUACUCCGUCUUCCAAAGCCUGCAAUGCAGUAUUCGCAAACACCUCUGGAAGCAGGGGCAGAACAGUGAGCUUGGCCUUCCCAAUGAUGUUCUGCUCUGCAGCAAGUGGCCGUCUCUUGUGUUGGCCUCCCUCCUGCACAGCCAGCUCGUCUACUGCCCUGCUCUCACCUGCUGGGGUCUUGUCUGGUGUCCUGCAUCUUUAACCUCUCUGUGCUGUGCAGAGCUGGGCAGCGAUACCAGCCCUGGCCUGUCUGAACAGAAGGACAGGUCUUCCUGAGCUAGAAAGUGGCCCUGGAGGCAGAGAACCUGUCAUGCAUGGGGUUGCCCAUAUCAGAACCUGGGAGCCAUUGAGAUCUAAUCUCACUCGGUUGACUGGAUGUAGGCAGGUUUUGUUCUGUGUUUAAAAACAAGGAGUUAGCAGGAACCCUCAUUUCUCCACGGGCUCUGAAAGUAAACUGGGAUCCCUGAAACACACUGCUGGGGCUUCACAGCAUCUGUGUGGACCACUAGCCUCAAGGAAUAUGAUGUUUUUUCCCCUAGCAAAAAAUGCUUUCAUUUCACAAAUAUUUAUUUUAAUACAUUGUUGUUCUUCAGUUAUAAGAAUACUAAUGUACUUUAGCCUAUGUUGUUUAUUUCUUACCCAGCUGUAAAGGAUAAUAAUUUCUUUCACAAUCCUUUUAUCCUGUCAAACCAAAUGAUAGAUAAAAACAUUAUAACUCCUCAACAGUCCCACCAUCACACUUCGUUUUAUUGUUCAUGUGAAUGCCUGACUAUGAUUUGGUCUUAUUGUUUUAACAGAAAGCAACAACAAACCAACCAAACAAAAACAAGCAAAAAUACCUUUUGAAACCAAGAGCCAGGAAGUUUAAGAACAAAUAACUAGAGAUCAGGGAAAUAAGGUAGUUUCAAGGUAUACAAAAAGGAGAUAUCAGUGCUUAGGAAAGUAAAACGUGGGAAUGGGAAGAAAAAUAUGGAGAUUUUAAAAGCUGCAGCACUGACAGCUUGUGUGGGCUUAGUGAUACACUGUGAUGUUUACCUUAAUGCUCCACUUUCUGGCGCUGGAUGGUUAUAUGAAGUUUCAGAUUUGCAUGAUGUCAUGUAGUAGAGAAAAUAUGGGUUCAAAAUCUGGUACAUCUGAAUAAGGAAUAUCAGAAAAG
ensembl:lncRNA